rnacentral:pre_miRNA from 1 species
CAACUACUCCCUGUGUCCCAAAAUUCUUGUCUUAGAUUUGUCUAGAUACAUAUGUAUCUAAUACUAAAAUGUGACUUGAUACAUCCGUAUCUAGACAAAUCUAAGAGAAGAAUUUUUGGACGGAGGGAGUACUUU